rnacentral:rRNA from 1 species
GACGAACGCUGGCGGCGUGCUUAAUACAUGCAAGUCAACGACUUUUAGAGUAGCAAUAUUCUAAAGGAAGUGGCGCACGGGUGAGUAACACGUAGGUAAUCUGCCUUCAGGACUGACACAACUCGUCGAAAGACGGGCUAAUAUCAGAUAAUGCAGCGGCUCCGCAUGGAGACAGUUGUUAAAGUACAAGCGCCUGAAGAUGAGCCUGCGGUCCAUUAGCUAGUUGGUAGAGUAACAGCCUACCAAGGCAACGAUGGAUAGCUGGUCUGAGAGGAUGAUCAGCCACACUGGAACUGAGACACGGUCCAGACUCCUACGGGAGGCAGCAGUAAGGAAUAUUGCUCAAUGGCCGAAAGGCUGAAGCAGCAACGCCGCGUGAAGGAUGAAUGGCCUUUGGCCUGUAAACUUCUAGUAAAAGGAAACAAUCAGGCAUGUCCUGAUUUGAUUGUACC